rnacentral:rRNA from 1 species
UACGUAGGGUGCGAGCGUUAAUCGGAAUUACUGGGCGUAAAGCGUGCGCAGGCGGUUUUGUAAGCCAGAUGUGAAAUCCCCGGGCUUAACCUGGGAAUGGCAUUUGGGACUGCAAGGCUUGAGUGCGGCAGAGGAGACUGGAAUCCUGGUGUAGCAGUGAAAUGCGUUAGAUAUCAGGAGGAACACCGAUGGCGAAGGCAGGUCUCUGGGCUGACACUGACGCUCAUGCACGAAAGCGUGGGGAGCAAACAGG